AGUGAACGCUGGCGGUAGGCCUAACACAUGCAAGUCGAACGGCAGCACAGUAAGAGCUUGCUCUUACGGGUGGCGAGUGGCGGACGGGUGGGGAAUACAUCGGAAUCUACUUUUUCGUGGGGGAUAACGUAGGGAAACUUACGCUAAUACCGCAUACGACCUACGGGUGAAAGCAGGGGAUCUUCGGACCUUGCGCGAUUGAAUGAGCCGAUGUCGGAUUAGCUAGUUGGCGGGGUAAAGGCCCACCAAGGUGACGAUCCGUAGCUGGUCUGAGAGGAUGAUCAGCCACACUGGAACUGAGACACGGUCCAGACUCCUACGGGAGGCAGCAGUGGGGAAUAUUGGACAAUGGGCGCAAGCCUGAUCCAGCCAUACCGCGUGGGUGAAGAAGGCCUUCGGGUUGUAAAGCCCUUUUGUUGGGAAAGAAAAGCAGCAGGUUAAUACCCCGCUGUUCUGACGGUACCCAAAGAAUAAGCACCGGCUAACUUCGUG
rnacentral:rRNA from 1 species